AAGAUGGGAUUUCCCAACUUCGGUUAUAAGAUCCCUCGAAGAUGACGAGGUUAAUAGGUUCGAGGUGGAAGCGUGGUGACACGUGGAGCUGACGAAUACUAAUCGAUCGAAGACUUAAUCAAUUU
rnacentral:rRNA from 1 species